rnacentral:rRNA from 1 species
AUUGAACGCUGGCGGCAUGCCUUACACAUGCAAGUCGAACGGCAGCAUGGAAGAGCUUGCUCUUCUGAUGGCGAGUGGCGAACGGGUGAGUAAAGCAUCGGAACGUACCGUGUAGUGGGGGAUAACGUAGCGAAAGUUACGCUAAUACCGCAUACGCACUGAGGUGGAAAGCAGGGGAUCGCAAGACCUUGCGCUAUACGAGCGGCCGAUGUCAGAUUAGCUAGUUGGUAGGGUAAAGGCCUACCAAGGCGACGAUCUGUAGCGGGUCUGAGAGGAUGAUCCGCCACACUGGGACUGAGACACGGCCCAGACUCCUACGGGAGGCAGCAGUGGGGAAUUUUGGACAAUGGGCGGAAAGACCUGAUCCAGCCAUGCCGCGUGAGUGAAGAAGGCCUCGGUGUAAGAUCUUCGUCUGGGAAGGAAAGUACG